rnacentral:rRNA from 1 species
GACGAACGCUGGCGGCGCGCUUAACACAUGCAAGUCGAGCGAUGAAAUUUCGACAGAUCCCUUCGGGGUGAAGAUGAAAUGGAUUAGCGGCGGACGGGUGCGUAACACGUGAGUAACCUGCCUUUGACAUUGGGAUAGCCUCGGGAAACUGGGAUUAAUACCAAAUGACACUAACUGAUCACAUGAUCAAUUAGUCAAAGAAAUUCGGUCAAAGAUGGACUCGCGGCUGAUUAGCUAGUUGGUGAGGUAACGGCCCACCAAGGCGACGAUCAGUAGCCGGCAUGGGAGGGUGAUCGGCAACAUUGGAACUGAGACACGGUCCAAACUCCUACGGGAGGCAGCAGUGGGGAAUAUUGCACAAGGGGGGAAACCCUGAUGAAGCGACGCCGCGUGAGCGAAGAAGGCCUUCGGGUCGUAAAGCUCUUUUAUGAGGGAAGAUAAUGACGGUACCUCAAGAAAAAGCCCCGGCUAACUACGUG